rnacentral:lncRNA from 1 species
GUUGAGUUGUGAUGUCUUUCAUAAGGAUAAGGACUUCUUGAAGAUAGAAAUAGCGUCAAGGUAGUUCUCUCCUGCUCAUGCAAUGCAAAAGGUUUCCUGGAGAUUGAUCUGGCAACCUUUUUUGUUAGCAGGUCUAUGCUUCUCUGGUUCCGGUGCUUGUUCAUAGAUAUUUUAACCCUCAUACUGUUCUCAAGUAAAGCUUUGAAUGAGAAUCAAAUGUUGUUAAUGUUGAUAUUUUCUUCAGGUAAAUUUGCCUAUCGUUGAUUAAGAAGAAUGAUUCAGCAAAAGAUUGUCUAUGUUCCAUCCUGUGCAAGUCAUGUUGUGAUGUAGUACCAUCUGCAAAAGGGAACUGAUUGGGUUUAGGACUGAACCUAUUCAAUUCAGACUUGAGUUUUGAUUAAAAUAAAACAAUGAAAGAUGGAAUUUCAAUGCAAAUGUGAUAGUAGAUAGGGCUAUG